GGCGGCCGACGGGCUGGCCGCGCGGCUGCGCGCCGCCGGGGUCGGCCCGGAGAGCAUCGUGGGGGUGCUCGCCGAACGUUCCACCGACCUGGUCGUCG
rnacentral:tRNA from 1 species